GCAUCUGCCCCUGAUUUUAAUCCAAAGGAGCUGCUUUUGGAACUGGCGUGUCCGGCUUUGGUGUUUGCCUGCUGAGGAAGAGAUAACUUUUUCAACCCACAAGGCUGAAAGAACUUCCCUUAACUGUAAUGACCCCAGCACAGCUAUUCACUAGAAGACAUCCUCCAUGAUUUCUUAGGGGCCCAUAAGAUGACUGAAGUUGUAGAACAGCAAAGACUUGGAACAGACACUGAGGUCCUAUUGCUCCUGUCGGAAACUUCUGUUGACUGCAGCAUGAGUUGGAUGGGACCCAGAGAAACCAAAUACAGACAAGUAAUGAUGAGUUGGCCAUACAAGCAAGGAAAAUCACAGAUAACAGGUGCACACCAAUUAGCAAUGUAUCUUUUGGGUCGUCCAGUACAUCUUCCUGACACAAUGAAGUUGUUUCUUAUGGCAUAUUUUUGUGGUUUUUUUUUGCCUAGAUUAAAUUUCCUAAGUGAUGCCAUAUCUCAAGGGAGAGGUUGUGUUGCCUAG
rnacentral:lncRNA from 1 species